UACGGAGGGGGCGAGCGUUAUUCGGAAUUAUUGGGCGUAAAGGGCGCGUAGGCGGCUUGGCAAGUGGAUGGUGAAAUCCCUCGGCUUAACCGAGGAACUGCCAUCCGGACUGCUUUGCUUGAGGCCGGGAGAGGUGAGUGGAAUUCCCAGUGUAGCGGUGAAAUGCGUAGAUAUUGGGAGGAACACCAGUGGCGAAGGCGGCUCACUGGACCGGUUCUGACGCUGAGGCGCGAAAGCGUGGGGAGCAAACGGG
rnacentral:rRNA from 1 species